UAGGGAAUCUUCCGCAAUGGACGCAAGUCUGACGGAGCAACGCCGCGUGAGUGAAGAAGGAUUUCGGUUCGUAAAACUCUGUUGUUAGAGAAGAACAGCGCAUAGAGUAACUGUUAUGCGUGUGACGGUAUCUAACCAGAAAGCCACGGCUAACUACGUGCCAGCAGCCGCGGUAAUACGUAGGUCCCGAGCGUUGUCCGGAUUUAUUGGGCGUAAAGCGAGCGCAGGCGGUUAGAAAAGUCUGAAGUGAAAGGCAGUGGCUCAACCAUAGUAGGCUUUGGAAACUGUUUAACUUGGGUGCAGAAGGGGAGAGUGGAAUUCCAUGUGUAGCGGUGAAAUGCGUAGAUAUAUGGAGGAACACCGGUGGCGAAAGCGGCUCUCUGGUCUGAAACUGACGCUGAGGCUCGAAAGCGUGGGGAGCGAACAGG
rnacentral:rRNA from 1 species